rnacentral:rRNA from 1 species
AUUGAACGCUGGCGGCAUGCCUUACACAUGCAAGUCGAACGGUAACAGGUCUUCGGAUGCUGACGAGUGGCGAACGGGUGAGUAAUACAUCGGAACGUGCCUAGUAGUGGGGGAUAACUACUCGGAAGAGUGGCUAAUACCGCAUGAGAUCUACGGAUGAAAGCAGGGGAUCGCAAGACCUUGUGCUACUAGAGCGGCCGAUGGCAGAUUAGGUAGUUGGUGGGAUAAAAGCUUACCAAGCCGACGAUCUGUAGCUGGUCUGAGAGGACGAUCAGCCACACUGGGACUGAGACACGGCCCAGACUCCUACGGGAGGCAGCAGUGGGGAAUUUUGGACAAUGGGCGCAAGCCUGAUCCAGCAGUGCCGCGUGCAGGAUGAAGGCCUUCGGGUUGUAAACUGCUUUUGUACGGAACGAAAAGCCCUGGGUUAAUACCCUAGGGUCAUGACGGUACCGUAAGAAUAAGCACCGGCUAACUACGUGCCAGCCGCCACCGUAA